rnacentral:lncRNA from 10 species
GUAUGGCAGCUGUCCCAGGCCUGGCCCCAUUUCCUUCCCUCCCCACUCCUCCUUUCUCGUGGUGGCUUUCUCGCUCUUUUUCUUGGUGUGGGGCUGGGGCCUCUCGGGACUUAUCAGGGAAAGGCUGCUGCCAAAAGUGGAGGACUUAAAGCUGGAGGCCGCCCCAAAGACGGGGAAAUGAAGAAAACGCCGUUUCUGGAGCUCCCUGAGGGAAGCAUGAGGAAUUUCACUGCCUUCCAGCAAUUAAAUUGCAUUCAAGAAUUCUACAGUAGCCUUGGUGGUCUGCAACGACAUUUCAGGGAUUAGAUGCUCUAUCUCCUGUCUGCAGACACAUGAGCAGAACCCAGGAUGGAAGAAUGUAAUCACCAGCGUGACUCCAGUGAUGGAGAUGAACUAGAUGUGGAGACUGGGGAGCAGCAGAGUCAACUCAGUUAUCAUCUUGGCGGCCGGGCUGCCGUCCAGCUCACAGAAGCCACCUGAUCCGGAAAAGAUUUCCAAAGCCUGCUGGAGCUGUUUCCAUACAGGCAGAGGCCAGUGUCAUCUCCAGCACCUGGGGGACAUAAGAGAAAGAGCCAGUGGCCUCCAAGACAAUCUCAGGUGAAUACGCUUGACCCAGACGAGGGAAGGAUCACACAAACUCUCCGUUGAUUGUCUUCCCACUCACAGAACCAGGCAACAAAGAAGUCUGUGGCGUCCACAGGAGGGAAACAAAGCAAAACGAAGCGCCGACCAGUGCGGUACUAUUAAUUCAAAUUAAUGACCCUCACCUACAAAUAAAGCUGGUGCCUGGCAGGUCGCUGGCUCUUGGAGAGCUGCAAUGAGAACAAACGUGGCUUUGCCGUCUGGCCAGGCAAUCGAUGCCUCCUGCCUGUCCCUGGCCGCCCCGCACCCACCUCUUACAGAUGUUACCUGUCUCCUGUUAAUUCUCCCGUGUCACUCUCCACUUCCCCGGUGGGGGUGGGGGGGGGGCGGUCAAGGGUUGACCUGGAGGGUGGGCUUAUUUCAUAAGAAAGGCCGAUUGAAAGGGCCCAGAUGCAAAGUCACACUGCUCUGCUGAGCUGGGAGGACACCCCACUGAGAGACGUGUCUGAAAUGGGUGGAGGUCUCUGGGCAUCACUGGCAGGGGUGGGUGCCUGACUGUCAUUUAGGGACAUUUCUGCCUUGAUCUGUUGCUCUUAUUUAUCUCUGCCAAAAUAAAGAUGUGUUUGAUGAUAAAGACUUCUUUUAUUCAGCCUCUCAGUUAUUCCAGCACGGUAGUUAGAGAUGAAUACAACGUUGCCCUUAAGCUACAACCUGAUCUUCACAAAAACCCUUUGAAGAAG